GACGAACGCUGGCGGCGUGGAUUAGGCAUGCAAGUCGAACGGUAUCAUCCUUUCGGGGGUGAGAGAGUGGCGAACUGGUGAGUAACACGUAGGUUAUCUACCCUCAAGACGGGGACAACCCAGGGAAACUUGGGCUAAUACCGGAUGUGAGCAACUUUUAGUUGUUUGAAAGGUGGCGUAAGCUGUCGCUUGGGGAUGAGCCUGCGUCCUAUUAGUUAGUUGGUGAGGUAACGGCUCACCUAGGCAAUGAUAGGUAGGCGGCCUUAACGGGUGGUCGCCCACACUGGGAUUGAGAUACGGCCCAGACUCCUACGGGAGGCAGCAGUCGAGAAUAGUCUACAAUGGUCGGAAGACUGAUAGUGCGACGCCGCGUGAACGAUGAAUCCCUUCGGGGUGUAAAGUUCUUUUAUAUGUGAGCAGUGCUUCUUAUAUUAACAGUAUGGGGAAGAGAUAUUAGCAUAUGAAUAAGCAACGGCUAACCCGUGCCAGCAGCCACGGU
rnacentral:rRNA from 1 species